rnacentral:rRNA from 1 species
GACGAAGGGGGCUAGCGUUGUUCGGAAUUACUGGGCGUAAAGCGCGUGUAGGCGGUUGCCCAAGUCGGGUGUGAAAGCCUUGAGCUCAACUCAAGAAAUGCACUCGGUACUGGGUGACUAGAGGACCGGAGAGGAUAGUGGAAUUCCCAGUGUAGUGGUGAAAUACGUAGAGAUCGGGAAGAACACCAGUGGCGAAGGCGACGUGCUGGGUUGCACCUGACGCUGAGAUGCGAAAGUGUGGGGAGCAAACGGG